rnacentral:lncRNA from 10 species
GAAACCUCUUCCUGUGGCUACGAAUUUGGUUGAUCACUGGAAUGGUUGUAAACAUCUUCAUUCAUCUGGUUUUGAUAUAGAAGGAGGAUGACACUUCUCAAAUGCAUCAACAACGGAGAAAGAAUAAUUCACAAACUACUUAUCACAAGGUAAACCCACGAUCAUUUUUCUUCUACUGAGCAAAGAACACCUAAGAGACAGGAGACCUGGCUUCAAAUUCUGGCUCCAUCAAUAACUUACAGCAUGACUUAAGCAAGACACUUCACUUCUAUGGACCCCAAUUUUCCCAUCAGUAACAUGGAUGGAGUGUGCUACACCAAUAUUUCUCCAAGUGUGUUCCAAAGAACAUUAGGUUCAUGAGGUGCUCUUUGAAAAACUCUUCUAUGGUCAAAUAGAUUUGGGAAAUACUGUGAACUUUAACCACUGCUUUGAGGACAGCUGAGGCUCAUAACAAUAAGAGAGGCUCUGAUAACUCCUAUGCUAAGGAAAUCUGCUAGACUUUAACCUGACAUUUCCUAAUCUUGAGAGGUGAAAUUUAUAUAUUCAAGUAUUAAUCUGUUAUUAAACUGUUUUACCACUCAUGAAUUGGUCAAUGGUACAGAGAAGCUCAGAUUCCAGUGAGAAAAAUGAAUUAUCUCAGUAACUAAGACUCAGAGUAAGGGAAAAAGAGGGAGAGCUGAGGACUGACAUGGGGAAAAAGAAACCUUUUAUGCAUUGAGAAGCUGCAGGAAAUCUUUCAUGCAUCGAGAAGCUAUGAGAAAGCUCUGCACCAAGCCAAUGUGUCCCUCUUCUAUGUGGGUGACCUGCAAACUGCUAGCGACUAACCCAUGGAACUUUGAGAGUCUGGAUGGAAGUGAUGUUUAUCAUUGCCCAUGAGAUUCUGCCUAAACCUCUCACCUGUUCCAGAUGGACCAUCUCCUGUAGACAAGCUGCUGAUGUAAAGGUCCUAGACACUCAUAAGUCACUCAGAACAAAAAGGGAUUUGGCCACCUUUUGAGGGGAGGAUGAUAAUGAGAGGAAACGCCUUCAGAUCAAGGUGGGGCAGGUACGGCCAGUUGGAAAUUCCCUUCU